UCCAGACUCCUACGGGAGGCAGCAGUGGGUAAUAUUGCACAAUGGGGGGAACCCUGAUGCAGCGACGCCGCGUGGGUGAAGGAGCACCUCGGUGCGUAAAGCCCUAUCGGCAGGGAAGAAAAGCGAACAGGUUCGCCUGGACGGUACCUGACUAAGAAGCCCCGGCUAACUACGUGCCAGCAGCCGCGGUAAUACGUAGGGGGCAAGCGUUAUCCGGAUUCACUGGGUGUAAAGGGAGCGUAGACGGCGACGCAAGUCUGGAGUGAAAGCCCGGGGCCCAACCCCGGGACUGCUCUGGAAACUGCGUCGCUGGAGUACGGGAGGGGCAGGCGGAAUUCCCGGUGUAGCGGUGAAAUGCGUAGAGAUCGGGAGGAACACCAGUGGCGAAGGCGGCCUACUGGGCUUUAACUGACGCUGAGGCACGAAAGCGUGGGUAGCAAACAGGAUUAGAUACCCCGGUA
rnacentral:rRNA from 1 species